CCCGGAUGUUAGCGGCGGACGGGUGAGUAACACGUGGGUAACCUGCCUGUAAGACUGGGAUAACUCCGGGAAACCGGAGCUAAUACCGGAUAGUUCCUUGAACCGCACGGUUCAAGGAUGAAAGACGGUUUCGGCUGUCACUUACAGAUGGACCCGCGGCGCACUAUCUAGUUGGUGAGGUAACGGCUCACCAAGGCGACGAUACGUAGCCCACCUGAGAGGGUGAUCGGCCACACUGGGACUGAGACACGGCCCACACUCCUACGGGAGGCAGCAGUAGGGAAUCUUCCGCAAUGGACGAAAGUCUGACGGAGCAACGCCGCGUGAGUGAUGAAGGUUUUCGGAUCGUAAAGCUCUGUUGUUAGGGAAGAACAAGUGCAAGAGUAACUGCGUGCACCUUGACGGUACCUAACCAGAAAGCCACGGCUAACUACGUGCCAGCAGCCGCGGUAAUACGUAUGUGGCAAGCGUUGUCCGGAAUUAUUGGGCGUAAAGGGCUCGCAGGCGGUUUCUUAAGUCUGAUGUGAAAGCCCCCGGCUCAACCGGGGAGGGUCAUUGUAAACUGGGAAACUUGAGUGCAGAAGAGGAGAGUGGAAUUCCACGUGUAGCGGUGAAAUGCGUAUAGAUGUGGAGGAACACCAGUGGCGAAAGCGACUCUCUGGUCUGUAACUGACGCUCAGGAGCGAAAGCGUGGGGAGCGAACAGGAUUAGAUACCCUGGUAGUCCACGCCGUAUACGAUGAGUGCUAAGUGUUUAGGGGGUUUCCGCCCCUUAGUGCUG
rnacentral:rRNA from 1 species